UUGAAAUUUCGCAUCAUCCCCGUCAUCAACCAACAGUCUAAAACCUUCACCUAUCUUCUCUCUUUCUCCGUUCAUGGCCACCGACUCCGAUGGGGACGAUCAAGAGAACGCUCCCCAUCUCCUCCCACUCCUCGAAGGCCAACACCAAGACCACUCUCCUCCAUCGGAGCACCAGCAGGAGCACUACCUCAACUCCAUCUCCGUCUCACUAUCCAUCCGCCAUCUCCGAUCACAAGGUCUCUCGUUCCAGCUCUGGCCUGCUCCGUCGUCUCCCUUAUCGACUCCUACCCCCAAGCACUCCUCCCUCUCAAUCUAAACCUCCGAAUCCUCGAGCUAGUCUCCGGCACCAGCCUCCAUCCUCCGCGCCAACGUCACCAUCACUGACCUCCCCACGCCCUCCCCAAUCUCCGCUCCAACGCCGACUCCAACGCCAGUGCCAUCACAACCCCAUCUCGCCUUCAUCGCCUUCAAAUCCUUAUACCCAACCCCCGUUGAAGUCUAGGGUUUGCAUCGCCGCCGGAAAACACAUUGGGUGGCCUCCACCUUGACCCACCGCUUUGACCUCGGCACCAGGCUUACUUGAGAUGCUUUCCCCGCCACUUCUUCGAGGGUCACCGCAGCUCGUCGGAGUUGAAGGUCCGAUCAUCAAAAGUGUGAGAGUCUGGCAUUCUCCGAUCUUUCCAUUUUGUUUUUCUUGGCAGGUUGAAUGAUUUGUUGUUAGAUAAGUUGAGUUUCUCCGUGAAUUGCUGGAGGUCGUCAUCGGAGUUGAAGGAAGUAGGUUCAUCAUCUGAUGCUUUCAUGCCGGAUCUGAGCCUGGUUGCUGGAGCUCGCUGGAGUUCACGGAAGUGUCUUAUCAUCAGAAGGGAGACGGAGAAGUUCAGGAGUCAUCUCCUUCAGAAGCUCUCCAAGAAGGAUAUUUUGGGGAACUCUGUUUAGGAAGUUGUAGGUGUUUACAUUGAGGAAGAGAAGGAAUUGUCAAUUACUUUGUGCUUAUAUAGACAUAAGAUAUGGUGGAUGAUACCUCGAAUGGGAAGUGAUAUUCCUGUGGAGACACAAAUGUUGCUUGUGGAAUCAAAGGAAGAGAAGGAAAGCCAAAAUGGUUCUAGUGAUUAUAUUCUCUUCUUGUCUGUGUUGGAUGGUCCCUUCCGAAGCAGUUUGCAAGGGAACUCUUUAAAUGAGCUUGAGUUCUGCAUCAAGUGCAGUAGUCAUUCUUAAGAUCUUCUUCCUGUUGUAGCUAGACAGUAUGUGAUCCUGCUGUACAAGCAUCUCAAUUCAAUGAAUCAGUGUUUGUAAACUCGGGCAGCAAUCCCUUUGAACUUGUCCAUGAACGAUGAAGUAAGUUCCUCGGCUUCAUUUCUCCAAAAGAUAAAACAUUAGUUGGCUUCACUCUUUGCUAAUGUACCACCAUUUGCUGGAAACUAAGACACGACAAAGGGACAUUUUCACUCUGAGAAAAUAAAUCGAUACCAGGAAUGUUGGACUGGUUUGGUUGGUGUACAUGGGAUGCUUUCUACUCCGACGUUAGUCCUCAUGGAAUCGAAGAUGGUCUUAAGAGGCAUACAUGCUUGUGAUGCUUUCUUUUCUGUUUACUGCAAGUAUACCUUAUAUAAAGAUGGCAUUCUGGUGACAUUUUUGAUAAUUGAUGACGGUUGACAAGACAUAACCAAUGAGUUUCAGAAAGAAGGUGAACCACAUAUUGAAGGAUCUCAAUACGGAGCGAGAUUAGUUAGUUUCAAGGAAAACAUCAAGUUUAGGGGCUUGAAGGACUUCGUUAUGAAGAUUAAGAAGAUAUUUGGUUUGAAGUAUAUCUAUUCAUGGCAUGCCUUAAUGGGAUCUUGGGAAGGACUUGAACCAAAUGCCCCGGGAAUUAAGAAGUACAAUCCAAGGCUACUAAUUCCUAACCAAUCUCCGGGAAACCUUGCACAUAUUCGAGAUUUUUUCUAUGGAUGAUGGCAUGCAAAUUUAUGGUGUCAGCAUGAUCGACCCGGAAAAGAUAUUCGAAUUCAGUACACAGCUACCUCGUAUCGCAAAAUGUGGAUGGAGUUAGGUCGAUGUACAGAAUAUACUUGAGUCUGCCAAAAACCUUGACUCAAUGGUUCCAUUAAGACCUUGAAAGGUCCAUUGCCAAAAACUCAGGAUAACAGCAUAAUUUGCUGCGUGUGUCAAAUUAAUGACUCAAUUUACAGGUGAACUCUGAAACUCAAUUAGCUUUGAAUGUUCUUCCAUAACUGCUAUUAAUGACUUUUUCUGUUUAAUAAUUAUUAAUAUCAGUGCAAAAGUAAGUGUUGUUGCAA